CUGCUCUGUUGGUCCUUGCGGUUAGAGGUGGGGAUGGACACUCGCAUCAUGGGUGAAAACUUAUGGCGGCACCGACACUCCAUGCACGCUGGUGAGAGAGAGGAGCGAAGAAACGCGGAGAGUUCGUGCUCAGAUGCUACUGAAGGAUCUACUUGAAGGAAGUUCAAGGCCGUGGUACCGGUUGGAAAUAGAAAAGAUGCUAAGACAUCCAGGUCAAGGUCAGUGGCACUGUGUUUGCCUCUGCGUUUCAGCAGGGAAGAGUAAAGUCGGGCAGAGCAAUGGUGAUAGGAGACUGGGGGACAGGCAGGAGAUUCUGUGGCUGUGAAAGAGACAUUGGGAUGGUGUGUUGCCUUCCAGGUGCCGGCGUCGAGGAUCUCCCAGAGUGGCUGCAGGACAUUCUCAAGGGGUAAGGUGAGAACGGUGGUAUACUUGGCACCAGUGCCAUAAUAGAAAGGGGGAAGAGGUCCUGCACAGUUAUUGUAGGGAGUAUAACGAAGCUGAAGGGCAGGACUUCAUAGGUAAUAAUCUCUGGGCAGGAAUAGAAAGGUGGAAUAGAUGAUUGAGUGGCUGGGGAACUGAUGCAGAGAGCAGGGUUUCAUGUUCCUGAAACACUGGAAAUUCUUCUGGAUUGAGAUGACCAGUGAUGGGUUGCACUUUCACUGGUGGGGAAUUGUUAACCUGGUCGGGAGGCUCUUUAGUGCAACUUGGAGGGUUUUAAACUAGUUUGGCAUGGGGAUAGGGACCAAAGCACCAGGUCAGAAAGUGGAGGGAUUGAGAGGAAGGUGGAUAUCAUGACCAGGAAGGACAUGCAGGAGAAUUUUAAAAUACAAUGGGAUGAUGGGUUGAAGUGGGUGCAUUUUAAAGCUAGGAAUAAGGGUCAUGAAUGUAAAGCGUGGAUCAGUACAUGGCACUACAAUUUAGUGGCAUAACAGAGACUUGAUUGAGAGAGGGACAGCAAUGGAUGCUUAAGGUUCCAUGAUUCAGUGUCUUAGAAAUGAUAGAGGAGGUAAAGAGGGUUGGGGGAGAGAUAUGCUAUUAAUCAGGGAGAGUAUCACAGCUGCAGUCAGAGGGGACAUAAGGAGGGGCUCAUUCACUGAGUAAAGAACUCUUAAAAAAAGUAAAGAAAGGUGCAAUCACUAUAAUAGGCUCAUGGAGGAUAAGUGAUCAGUGUGGAGUGUGCUAAUUUUCUAAGGAAUUUCAAGAUAAAGAAAGUGGUUGUGUUGGGCCUUGCCCAAUAUCUUUUGUGUCCUCUUUAGCUGCAGAUCCUUUCAAUAGCCACGGGGGCAUUGAAGAGCAGUGAUGCAGCUGAUCAAGAAAAGGUAUAAAAACAACAGGGGUUUUUGUAGUGGAUGGCUUCAACUUCCCUAAUAUAGACUGGAACCUCAUUAGUGUGAGAGGUUUAGAUGGGGUAGAAUUUGUUAGGUACAUUCAGGAGGGUUUCUUAAAUCAAAAUGUAGAUACUGUAACAAGAUGAGGGACCAUACUGGACCUAGUUUAGGGUAAUGAGCCUGGCUGGGUGUCUAACCUUUCAGUGGGAGAAUGGUUAGGAAACAGUGAUCACAACUCUGUAAGUUUUAAGAUAACUAUGGAUAAGUAUGGAACAUGUUAGGGAAUAUUAUAUUGGACAUAAACAAGAAUAUUAUACAGGGGCUAAGUGGGAAUGGUUAUUUUUGGAUUAGUUUACAUCUGACAUAUGGAGUGUGGUUUAAAGACAAACUGCACAGGGUACAGGACAGGUAUAUUCCUGUAUGAAGAAAGGACAAGUAUGACAAGGCAAGGGAACUUUGUGGUGAAUUUGGUGAAGAUGAAAAAGGAAAUGCAUGUAAAGUUUAAGAAUCUAAAAUCAAAUGGAGCCUCUUGAGGAUUAUAAAGAAACCAGAAAAGAACUCAAGAAGAGAAUUCAGUGAGCCCAGAGGAGUCAUAAAAAGUCGUUGGCAAGUAAUAUUAAAGGGGAUCCAAAGGCACUUCAUACAUACAUGAAGAUCAAGGUGAUAACUGGGGCAGGGAAGGACCACUCAGGGAUAAGGGUGGAAAUAAUGUACUUUGAGGCAGAGAAUGUGGAUGAGGUCCUAAAUGAGUACUUUGGAUCAGUAUUUACCAAGGAGAGGGAAGUGGUGGAUAGGUGAUCAAUGUGGAGUGUGCUAAUUUUCUAAGGAAUUUCAAGAUAAAGUGGUUGUAUUGGGCCUUGACUAAUAUCUUUUUUGUCCCCUAUUGCUGCAGGUGAGGUCCCAGAGGACUGGCAAUUAACAUUGUUCCAUUAUUCGGGAAGGAAAAUAGGAAUAUUCCUGGAAACGAGAGGUACAGAUGACGUUUCAGGCUGAGACCCUUUGUUGGGACUACCAGUUAGUCCUGACGAAGGAUCUCGGCCCAAAACGUCGACUGUACCUCUUCCUAUAGAAGCUACGUGGCCUGCUGCGUUCACUAGCAUUUUUUGUGUGUGUUGCUUGAAUUUCCAGCAUCUGCAGAUUUCCUGGUGUUUGCCUGGAAACAAGAGACUGGGUAUUUAUAAAAAUCACGAAGAGUAGGGGUCCCAGAACGGAUCCCUGAGGCACAUCAUUGGUCACCAACCUCCAUACGGAAUAUGACACAUCGAGAGAUUCCUGGUGGUGGCUGAUGGAGUAAAAGCAAUCUGCAGUUGCUCCAACUCUAAUUAUCUUACUAUUUCCAACCUGUCUUGAAACUUUUUUUUAAGUGUGAUAUUCUUUCAAUAUGACUGGAAGGAGUGCUGGAGGUACUAAAAAGAACAAUCACCCUGCUUCUUUGGAUUCUAUUUUGGAUUUGCUGCAAAGUCAUACACGAGAAGCCUCUGAGAAGUUUCAACAAUUCAGCUCUGAGUUCAAACAAAUAGAUGGUAAAUUAGAUUCUGUUCAACAAACUCUUAAUGAACACGAUAAACAUAUAAAAAAUAACGAAGCAAUUUUGUCAUCUCUGGAAAUGGAAUGGAAGUGGAUGAAUUGCAAAAGCUUUGUGAAAAGCAAUCGAAGUCCAACGAAAAGUUAAGACAGUAUAUUAAACAAGAGGAAAUAGUAAGGGCUAUAUCCUCUUUUCAAUCAGGUAAGGCUCCGGGACCGGAUAGAUAUACAGUGGAAUUUUUUAAGACUUUUGCUGAAAUACUUACAC